GUGACAUGAGAACUGAGGAAGCAUCAGCAUGUCCUUAGGCUUCCUGGGAUUCAGGUGAAGAUGUAGAGAAAUUCACAAAGUAGAUAUGGAGGGAGAAACACAGAGCUGAAUAACAGAAUCCAGGAGAAGAGAAUUCCCAGGAAUACAGGGAUUGUGAUUCAGAAAGAGAGACCCUGGCAGGGCAAGUGCCUCAGAAAUCCAGUAACAUGCGAUGUGGUUCCCUCAGGCCAGGAGCUUACUUACUGGCAGGGCCUGAUCUGUUAGGGCUACUGGAAAGGAAAGCAGGAGAAGCCAUGUGUCAGCAGGCGGAAGCGUGCAGAAAGGAGAGGGUGACCUUCUGUCCCACGGUCCCUGACACCGAGGCUUCCUGGGUCAGCGCAGACUGUGCCCAGGACCCUGGAACAGAGGAGGCAGGCACAGAGAGGCAGUCACCUGAGCAGAGGGUGAGAAGCUGGAGGAGGAGAGGGGUCCAGGCCAUGGUGGAGAUGCCCCAGGCUCUGCUUCCUAAGCCCACAGCUGAGCAGAACUGCACAGAGUCUCUCUUAUCCUCUCCUCCUAAGAGGGCACAGAGCACCCUUCAUGCAAAUCACACCCCUCCCCCUGCUAUCCCUGGGCCUGAACUUGGGGAAAGUUGAGUGUGGGGUGGGGCUAGAGGAGCCUCUUCUGCUCCUGGGAGGUCCCAGCUGCUGGGCCCCAGAAAGCACAGAGCAGAGGGCCCAGGGUAGGGGUCCAGGGCCUGGUUUCCCAGUUGAAACCCCCACAGACCCUCAGGGACAGGCCACACUUCCCUCCACUGUCUCAGAGCCCAGGUUCAUUCCUGACUGGCUUGAAGGUCCUCAGCACUGCCUUGCGC
rnacentral:lncRNA from 1 species